rnacentral:lncRNA from 10 species
GCUGUUUGCAGAUAACCACAGCCUGCCUCUGCACCGGGUCCUGGCUGUCCCUUCCAGACGGACCUGUCUCUUCCACUCUGAGCCUCUCUGAGCAGAGGUCCCACAGGGUGUUAGUGACCAGAGAUGCUGCCGGUUGAGCUCAAAUGUCACCUCCUCCAAGAAGACUUCUCAGACUACCACCAAAGAGGCCACCAUAUUAUUCUGUCUCCUGAUCCUGUGUAGUUCCUUCAACCCUCUUGUCCCAGUUGAUCUGUUUCAUUGGGGUGUCUUCUUCACCCCAAGGCAUAAGUUUCAUGAAAGAAAAGAAUGUUGUUUGAGUCACUGCUGUAUCCUCAGAGCCUCAGACAGGGCUGGACACAUUAGAUGCCACAUAAAUGUUUGCUACAUGGAUGAAUGAGUAGAAUAGACAGAUGGACAGGUGGGAGGGUGCAAGGAUGUUAGCUCAGGUGGUCAAACUCUCUAGAAAAAUAACCCACCCUUAACAGGCAUGGUUGGCUUGAUCUCCAUAAACAUUCCCAUAAAGGAAACGUGGGAACUGGGAAGCCCAAGGCUCAAAGCAAGAAAUGACUAGAGACAGAUCACAGGUCACUCAGUCAGCAAGGGGGACAGUCAAGGAUAGAAGCUUCCUUGGGUGAGGAGGGGGCUGCUCUGCUCCCACAGUGGGCUCAGGGUUCAUACGGUCCUGCGGAGGCCUCCCCAGGCCUACCUCUGCUGAUUAAAGUUUCCCCAAAAAGCAAGCUCCUCCUUCUACUUGCCCUCUAAGCUUUCGGGGUACUAGAAGCUAAUCAUGCAAUUUUUCUUUUUUCUUUUUCUUUUUUUUUUUUGAGACGGAGUUUUGCUCUUGUUGCCCAGGCUGGAGUACAGUGGCGCGAUCUCGGCUCACUGCAACCUCUGCCUCCCGGGUUCAAGCAAUUCUUUUGCCUCACCCACCUGAAUAACUAGGAUGACAGGUGUUUGCCAUCAUGCCCGGGUAAUUUUUAUUUUAGUAGAGACGGAGUUUCACCAUGCUGGCCAGGCUGGUUUCGAACUCUU